CUUACCUUUAUGACAUCUUCAUCAGCUGAUUUGCACUCGAUGGAGUCUGAAACGUCCACCACGGACCCGUCCUCCUGCACGGCAACGACCUUGACUGGAACUGACACCAUUCUGCCCGUCAGAAUGGCCGUGUUAAGGACCUCUGUGUCCUGCAUGCACAGACAAAGGGAGGAUGGGUGUUAGAGAAGCACAAAACCACGAGAAUGAACCAACCCUGCCUCUGAUAGGGACAGGCUCAGAGGUUUGGCUGCAGUGGCAAUGAAAUCUGUGAUGCAAUGAGGCACAAAGGCCUGUCUGCAGCUCAGGAGAACCACAGCACUACUCGGAUUGAUGGAGAAUAAUGGGCAUUGACCACAAGCUAAGGACAGCUGGAGAAGACCAAUAAAUACUUGCAACUAAGAUGUAUUAUUAAU